CCUACGGGGGGCAGCAGUGGGGGAUAUUGCACAAUGGGGGAAACCCUGAUGCAGCGACGCCGCGUGGGCGAAGAAGUAUUUCGGUAUGUAAAGCCCUAUCAGCAGGGAAGAAGAAAUGACGGUACCUGAGUAAGAAGCACCGGAUAAAUCCGUGCCAGCAGCCGCGGUAAGACGUAGGGUGCAGGCGUUAUGCGGAUUGACGGGGUUUAAAGGGAGCGCAGGCGGGAUGGCAAGCCUGAUGUGAAAGCCCGCGGCUCAACUGCGGGACUGCAUUGGGAACUAUCGGGCUGGAGUGCGGGAGAGGUAGGCGGAAUUCCUAGUGUAGCGGUAAAAUCCGUAGAUAUUAGGAGGAACACCAGUGGCGAAGGCGGCCUACUGGACGGUGACUGACGCUGAGGCUCGAAAGCGUGGGGAGCAAACAGGAUUAGAUACCCGAGUAGUC
rnacentral:rRNA from 1 species